rnacentral:ncRNA from 1 species
UUUACGGAGAGUUUGAUCCUGGCUCAGGAUGAACGCUGGCGGCGUGCUUAACACAUGCAAGUCGAACGGUGAAGCCAAGCUUGCUUGGUGGAUCAGUGGCGAACGGGUGAGUAACACGUGAGCAACCUGCCCUGGACUCUGGGAUAAGCGCUGGAAACGGCGUCUAAUACUGGAUAUGAGCCUCUUCCGGCAUGGUGGGGGUUGGAAGAUUUUGGUCUGGGAUGGCUCGCGGCCUAUCAGCUUGUUGGUGAGGUAAUGGCUCACCAAGGCGUCGACGGGUAGCCGGCCUGAGAGGGUGACCGGCCACACUGGGACUGAGACACGGCCCAGACUCCUACGGGAGGCAGCAGUGGGGAAUAUUGCACAAUGGGCGAAAGCCUGAUGCAGCAACGCCGCGUGAGGGAUGACGGCCUUCGGGUUGUAAACCUCUUUUAGCAGGGAAGAAGCGAAAGUGACGGUACCUGCAGAAAAAGCGCCGGCUAACUACGUGCCAGCAGCCGCGGUAAUACGUAGGGCGCAAGCGUUAUCCGGAAUUAUUGGGCGUAAAGAGCUCGUAGGCGGUUUGUCGCGUCUGCUGUGAAAUCCCGAGGCUCAAC